rnacentral:rRNA from 2 species
AGGGGAAUAUUUCACAAUGGGCGAAAGCCUGAUGCAGCAACGCCGCGUGAGGGAUGACGGCCUUCGGGUUGUAAACCUCUUUUAGUAGGGAAGAAGCGAGAGUGACGGUACCUGCAGAAAAAGCACCGGUUAACUAAGAGCCAGCAGCCGCGGUAAUACGUAGGGUGCAAGCGUUGUCCGGAAUUAUUGGGCGUAAAGAGCUCGUAGGCGGCUUGUCGCGUCUGCUGUGAAAUCCCGGAGCUCAACUCCGGGCCUGCAGUGGGUACGGGCAAGCUAGAGUGCGGUAGGGGAGAUUGGAAUUCCUGGUGUAGCGGUGGAAUGCGCAGAUAUCAGGAGGAACACCGAUGGCGAAGGCAGAUCUCUGGGCCGCUACUGACGCUGAGGAGCGAAAGCAUGGGGAGCGAACAGG